CAGCCGCCGCGGUAAUACGUAGGUCCCGAGCGUUGUCCGGAUUUAUUGGGCGUAAAGCGAGCGCAGGCGGUUUGAUAAGUCUGAAGUUAAAGGCUGUGGCUCAACCAUAGUUCGCUUUGGAAACUGUCAAACUUGAGUGCAGAAGGGGAGAGUGGAAUUCCAUGUGUAGCGGUGAAAUGCGUAGAUAUAUGGAGGAACACCGGUGGCGAAAGCGGCUCUCUGGUCUGUAACUGACGCUGAGGCUCGAAAGCGUGGGGAGCGAACAGGAUUAGAUACCCCUGUAGUCCCUGUCUCUUAUACA
rnacentral:rRNA from 1 species